UGGCAAUAUGUGGCUCCAGGGGAGAGGCAAAAGUGGAGGUUCCCGAGUCAUCUGAGAUUUGUUGCCUCGGAACAGGAUCCACAGCUCAAUAAUAGUAAAUAUAUCUGAGAUUUGUUGCCUCGGAACAGGAUCCACAGCUCAAUAAUAGUCACUGUACUGUCAUUGUUUAUUUGAAAUCUAAAAGUGUAAUGCAAGAAUAUGCAAGACCACAGGGACUGGAGACACAAAGAGCAUCUGAAGAGAGCUUGAAUGACUCCCAAAAGUUCCAAACAGUCUCAAAGUUACCAUGUGCAGCACAGUCAGGGGAGCAUGUGAGAAGAACAACAAGAAAGCUGGGGUCGCCAGAGAAGACGGAAGCCCUCACAUUAAACUGAGUCAACUGGCAUCUUGAUCUUGGACUUCCAAA